rnacentral:siRNA from 1 species
CACACACCCAUAUCGUUC